rnacentral:rRNA from 1 species
GAUGAACGCUAGCGGCAGGCCUUACACAUGCAAGUCGAGGGGUAACGUGAGUGCUUGCACUUGACGACGACCGGCGCACGGGUGCGGAACGCGUAUGGAACCUACCUUUAUCAGGGAGAUAGCCCAUGGAAACGUGGAUUAAUAUCCCAUAGUAUUAUUUUAUCGCCUGAUAGAAUAAUUAAAGAAUUUCGGAUAGAGAUGGCCAUGCGUAUCAUUAGCUAGUAGGCGAGGUAACGGCUCACCUAGGCGACGAUGAUUAGGGGUCCUGAGAGGGAGAUCCCCCACACUGGUACUGAGACACGGACCAGACUCCUACGGGAGGCAUCAGUGAGGAAUAUUGGGCAAUGGAGGCAACUCUGACCCAGCCACGCCGCGUGCAGGAAGACGGCCCUACGGGUUGUAAACUGCUUUUAUACAGGAAGAACACCACCCACGUGUGGGUGACUGACGGUACUGUAAGAAUAAGGACCGGCUAACUCCGUG